UACGAAGGGGGCUAGCGUUGCUCGGAAUCACUGGGCGUAAAGGGCGCGUAGGCGGCCGAUCAAGUCAGGGGUGAAAGCCUGUGGCUCAACCACAGAAUUGCCUUUGAUACUGUUUGGCUCGAGACCGGAAGAGGUUGGUGGAACUGCGAGUGUAGAGGUGAAAUUCGUAGAUAUUGGGAAGAACACCAGUGGCGAAGGCGGCUCACUGGCCCGUAACUGACGCUGAGGUGCGAAAGCGUGGGGAGCAAACAGG
rnacentral:rRNA from 1 species